AGUGAACGCUGGCGGUAGGCCUAACACAUGCAAGUCGAACGGCAGCACAGUAAGAGCUUGCUCUUACGGGUGGCGAGUGGCGGACGGGUGAGGAAUACAUCGGAAUCUACUUUUUCGUGGGGGAUAACGUAGGGAAACUUACGCUAAUACCGCAUACGACCUACGGGUGAAGGCAGGGGAUCUUCGGACCUUGCGCGAUUGAAUGAGCCGAUGUCGGAUUAGCUAGUUGGCGGGGUAAAGGCCCACCAAGGCGACGAUCCGUAGCUGGUCUGAGAGGAUGAUCAGCCACACUGGAACUGAGACACGGUCCAGACUCCUACGGGAGGCAGCAGUGGGGAAUAUUGGACAAUGGGCGCAAGCCUGAUCCAGCCAUACCGCGUGGGUGAAGAAGGCCUUCGGGUUGUAAAGCCCUUUUGUUGGGAAAGAAAAGCAGCAGGUUAAUACCCCGCUGUUCUGACGGUACCCAAAGAAUAAGCACCGGCUAACUUCGU
rnacentral:rRNA from 1 species